GUAGGUGGCAAGCGUUGUCCGGAAUUAUUGGGCGUAAAGCGCGCGCAGGCGGUUCUUUAAGUCUGAUGUGAAAGCCCACGGGCUCAACCGUGGAGGGUCAUUGGAAACUGGAGAACUUGAGUACAGAAGAGGAAAGCGGAAUUCCACGUGUAGCGGUGAAAUGCGUAGAGAUGUGGAGGAACACCAGUGGCGAAGGCGGCUUUCUGGUCUGUAACUGACGCUGAGGCGCGAAAGCGUGGGGAGCAAACAGGAUUAGAUACCCUGGUAGCCCACGCCGUAAACGAUGAGUGCUAAGUGUUAGGGGGUUUCCGCCCCUUAGUGCUGCAGCUAACGCAUUAGGCACUCCGCCUGGGGAGUACGGCCGCAAGGCUG
rnacentral:rRNA from 1 species